UACGUAGGGUGCAAGCGUUAAUCGGAAUUACUGGGCGUAAAGCGUGCGCAGGCGGUUCGCUGUGUCCUGUGUGAAAGCCCCGGGCUUAACCUGGGAAUGGCAUGGGAAACUGGCGAGCUUGAGUGCGGCAGAGGGGGGUGGAAUUCCGCGUGUAGCAGUGAAAUGCGUAGAGAUGCGGAGGAACACCGAUGGCGAAGGCAGCCCCCUGGGCUAACACUGACGCUCAUGCACGAAAGCGUGGGGAGCAAACAGG
rnacentral:rRNA from 1 species